rnacentral:rRNA from 1 species
GUGUCAGCAGCCGCGGUAACACGGGGGGAGCAAGCGUUGUUCGGAAUCACUGGGCGUAAAGGGCGUGUAGGCGGUUUGGUAAGUGGGAUGUGAAAUGCCCCGGCUCACCCGGGGACCGGCAUCCCAAACUGCCAAGCUUGAGUAUGGGAGAGGAUGUGGGAAUUCCUGGUGUAGCGGUGAAAUGCGUAGAUAUCAGGAGGAACACCGGUGGCGAAGGCGCACAUCUGGCCCAAUACUGACGCUGAGGCGCGAAAGCUAGGGGAGCAAACGGGAUUAGAUACCCCCGUAGUCC